rnacentral:lncRNA from 1 species
GUUGAUACUGUGUCUGAUCCAGAUUUGUUUGUAUCAUGCACAAUGUCUUACCCCUAAGAGACACUCAAGAUGUAUUUGUUGAAUGAAUAAAUGAAGGGCCUGAAUCAACUUUACUCCAAAUAAAUACAUUGCUCCUUUAGUCCUAUGACUCCCUGCUCUGAUUCUGUAGAAGGAAGCUUUGGCAUCCAUGCAGGACUAGAAGAACAACAUGAGAUUCUCAUUCAUUGU